GGUAGCAUGGCCGAGCGGUCUAAGGCGCUGGUUUAAGGCACCAGUCAUUUCGAUGGCGUGGGUUACGAAUCCCACUGCUGCCA
rnacentral:tRNA from 1 species